rnacentral:piRNA from 1 species
UGUGACAGAGCUCGGUGAGCGUGCAGGCA